UGCGAAGGGGGCUAGCGCUGUGCGGAAUAACUGGGCGUAAAGCGCACGUAGGCGGAUUUGUAAGUCAGGGGUGAAAUCCCGGGGCUCAACCUCGGAACUGCCUUUGAUACUGCAAGUCUAGAGUCCGGAAGAGGUGAGUGGAAUUCCUAGUGUAGAGGUGAAAUUCGUAGAUAUUAGGAAGAACUCCAGUGGCGAAGGCGGCUCACUGGUCCGGAACUGACGCUGAGGUGUGAAAGCGUGGGGAGCAAACAGG
rnacentral:rRNA from 1 species